CAGAAAGCGGUGUUAGUGUUAGUUCUGGCCCGUUUGGACCCAGACUAAAGCGAGUUUAUUCGGUUCUGUGUAACCGAACCCGUUCUGUUCUGUAUUGUGUGUAUGUGUGUAGUUAACGGUGUUAACACCUGUGUUUCAGGUGUAUCAGUAUGAAGCAGGCGGUGACGGCGCACUGAUUCACUCUCGGAGCUCGGUUCACUAAUGACCGAAUCACCGAGGAACCGACCAAAGAUAACUCACACCCGCACGGAGAAGAAGAACAAGAGGAGGAGAAGAUGAGCUGGAGUGGGGCAAAGAGAACUGCAUUCAGAUCAAACGGAUACAAGAGAGGUGGCCGAGUUGUUUGAGGAUCUAAAGAAUUGAGUGUCACAAUUCAACAUGCACAUCAGCGAAACUUUUCCCUCUGACUACACCAGCACGCACGCACAGAAAUUCAUAGUGCAGGUGGCGAUUGCAGGCGCAUUUUAUCCGAACUGCUUCCUCCAGGGAACUGUGGACGAGGAGCUCGCCUCCAAGGAACUCUAUGGAAACGACCCCAGGACCACCAUAGUGUGUGUAAUCUCCCUCCAUUUGCAUUCCUCUACUAUAAACAGCUCCAGUCUCUCUUCAGACACUGUGGUUAAAUCAAAUCCAUCUCCUUUGACAGCUCCAGGGCCUAUGUAGAGUUCUACCGCUCGUCAAUGAGAGGUUCUGGCGUUCUCCCAGAGGUGUCUCUGUCUCUCACGCAGGAGAGACUUCCUCUCCAUCUCAACGUUUAACCCACUGGAGAGGUUGAGACUUGGGCAGGGGGGUAGUGUAUCUCACACCUCAGAUAUACACGGGUGAAUGUGGAUUUUCAGAAUCAGUCAGUGAGCCCUGUCGGGGUUCUGAGCAGCUCCAUUGAGUUGGAGAAUCUUCCAUCUAACCCUGUCUUUAUCGUCAAUAUCACCGAGGUGUCUGUUCCGCCUCUUUCACUUUCAGUGCACAAAUAAAAAAGAAGCAGUGGCUCCUGUGUGUGUGUGUGUGUGUGUGUGUGUGUGUGUGUGUGCACUAACAGGAGGUCCAGGUGCAGCCUUUGGAUAUUGAUGAAGAUUUACUGCCCCUGCAAGACCUUCCUCGACUGCGUAGUCUGGAGCAAAGGAUGCAACAGAGCCCAGAUUACAAGCAAAAUCUGGUAAACUGGUUGGCGCUUAUUGACGGGGUGUAUGUGCGUGACUGCACCUGGCGCAUAUUGAAGAGGGUGAUUGCUAACUCCCUGGCAAAGAAUCUCAAUUGGAGGGGAGUCGAUGGAAAGACUUCACUGUCCGCUCUCCAACUCGGAGAGGUCGUGAUUGCUGCAGUUCAUAGAAACCUCUUCACGGCUAAAGCUGCAGAGAUGGAGGUCGAGGGGUCCAUGAAGAGGCGGCUCCAGCUGGCAUCAGAUCGAGAGUGUGGGCGCAAGAGCAGACUUUUGAUAAAGGAGGGUAUUUACAGUGUUUUAACUGGUGUGUUUUUUGCGCUAUUUAUUAAUUUGUUAAAAUGUUCAUAUUAUAGUCUAUUUUUAAUUGUUUAUAAAAGUCCUUGCUGUUUUUAAGUGGCUGAAUUAGUGUGUGCACGCGUGUGUGCGUGCGUGUUGGUAGCUGGGUGGGUAUAUAGUUGUGGUCGGAAGUUGACAUACCCCUUGCAGGAGAAAGAGACCCUGUGUAAUCUGUUUAAACGACUUUUACACAUGUUUUGCAGAGAGAUCAUUUUCACCUUGCUGUUUGGGUCUCUGUCCCACACUGUUACAGUGCAGUAUUGAGAGCGCGAGGGAGAUCGAUUUUCUAUCAGAAACAGUAACUAUAUAAAAUGGACGUCAACACGCACCACUCUGUGACGUCAUUUCUCGCUCUCAACAGAGUAGUUGUGAUUGUUCAGUGUUUACGACAGGGCCAAAACAUUCAAGGCCAUGGUGUAUUUUGACUGUUCCUGUAGCAUAAUCUCACCAAACUGUGUGUACACGAGUCCACAGACACUGAGUCUAUUCACAGUUCCAUGCUGUGUAGAUGUUCUGCUCAUCCUCACUGUACCGUAAAGGUCAGAACCUCACAUCUGUAACCUUGUAGCUUUCCUUAAUCAACACGACUGCGACCAAGCUUGUGUGUCACUACUAUUUUUAGAUCUCCGCCUCUCAAAAGUAUUGGCGCCCUGCGCGUCCGCCUCUCAAAUCUUUUGGCGCCCUACGUGGCCAGCUCUCAAAUCUGUUGGCGCCCUAUGCGUCCGGCUGUCAAAUCUAUUGGUGCCCUAUGCGUCCAGCUCUCAAAACUAUUGACGCCCUUCACGGGCAGUUCUCAAAAGUAUUGGCACCCGAUCUGAAUUUUGCCACGGCACGCACCACUCACAUUUUCUUCAGGAAAUGUACCUUAAAAUAAUAAAAAGUCUCUCACUAGGCUGUGUGUCGAGAUAAACGUGAAAACAUCUUGAGCUUGUGUUCACCACAGACCUUAUUUCCGGCAUUUAACCCAAAACCCCAUUGACGGAAGUGCUAAUACGCUGAAUCGUUUCUGGGUUUCACGACUCAUUCCUGCAGCACUCUGUAAGACGGGCUGUUGUUAUCAAACCAUUGAAAUCGGAUAAGCGCUUUGGUAAUGAUUCUUUAAAUGAACCGAUUCAGAAUCCUCUUCUUGAAUCGUUUGAGUCGUUCUCACUCGGUCAGGGUUGCACGUGUGGGUUGCUUUUCCUGCACGUGUAAUCAGCACGUGUUCACAGACCGUAAAUCCCGACCCCAUGGUAGACACUCGACAGAAAUUUCAUACUAAAGUAAGUAUUUUAUAUUUUCUGGGUCUAAACAGAGCAGAAGUAUUGCUAACAUGUUGUACAGAUUCUAUUGGACUGGUGAACUGUGUGGAUUUGUAUAUUUAACCCAGUUUAAUAUGGCCUGCUUUGUUCAGUCAGAGACAAGUAAAUCUGUUCUAAUGUUCAUUUAUUUUCCAUAGAUAAAACACGUUUGUUUACACAUGAAUACGUACUUUAUGCUUUCAGAAUGGUGGAGAUUUGGCUCUUAACUAUGGUUAAGUGGUAGGUACUAUAAAAUGCACAGUUCUGAGACACUAUAUACCUAUACUGUGAAAUCAGUACAUGUGUGUUUAGAAUGAUUAUAGCUUUUGGGGGAAAAACUAUUCUUGAAUCUAUUAGUCCUUGUUCUGAUGCACCUGUAACGUCUCCCUGAGGGCAGCAGAUCAGAGCCAGGGUGAGAGCUGUCCUCAAUGAUGGUUUUUCCUCUGCUGAGGCAACGGGGGGUGUAAAUAUCCAUCACGGAGGUGUUGUGGAUAAAAAAUGUCAUAAAAUAAACAUAAGGGAGACCUAGCAUCCAGCAAAGGGGAGAAGAAGAAAAGAUGGGCACCUAGACACAUAGAAGCGGGAUUAGGCGGACAUUGACAAAUUGGAAUUACACUUUAAAGAUCUUUAAGAGCAGUAGUAGUCAAAAAAGUCAAAAAGAGGUAUACGAGCUGAGCUGAGGAGUGCUAAUACACACACACACACACACGCUCGUACAGUCAAGGGCGGGCAAGUAGACACAACAUACACACACACUCUCUCGCUCUCAUACACACACAUGAAUAACUUUAAUAAUCUUAUUGUAAUAGAGAAACUCUCUAUAAAAAAACAGAAUAGUAGGAUAUGCAGGACAGUAUGGAGGAUAUGCAGGAGCUUAAGCUCAUCACUUCUGAGAAUUCUCAUCGGUGUGGAUCUUGUGUGGUGGAACGGAACAAUAAAUCUGGACCCUUGCUUCUUCUCACUCACGGCUGGUGUAUUUUUUUCUAUCUCCAACUGGGCUCAGAGGUAGAUGUGAGUGUUGGCUUCUAUGUUGAAUUUUAAGUGUUUUUGGGUAAUAGGCUAUAUUUGAGCCAACAGAGGGGAGAGGUAAUAAAUAAACUUAUAAAUGUGAUUACUUGAUGAACGUAGACAGAACUCUAUAAAUGUGAAAUGUUUUGUUGAAGUUCAGAUGAAUCUCUGAUGUACAGAAUCUUCAACAGAGUUCUGCAGAAAGAUUUUGAAUGCCUGUCAUUCACCAGAACAAAUUUGCAGUUGAACAGUCUGUCUAAAAUAAAAAAUCUAAACACACAAUAUAAAAUUCCUGCAGUAUGAAUAAAGCCUUUGUGUUGCUUUUAGCAAACAUGUCUAGUACUCUCGGUUCAAUGUACACAAUUUACCCCAUUUAAAUGCAUUUUGGAAAUUGUUCCACAUGGCCUUAAAGUGUGAAUAUUCACCGUAUGCCAAAUAAGUAAUCAAAGAAUGGAAUGGAUUUUUUCUUCUCUAAUGGACCAUUAAUCACAAUUAUAAAAGAUGAUGCAUCAGGUACAAAGUAUCAGGGUUUUUCCCCCCUCUUUUUCCCACAAUAGUUGCAUGAUUUUUGCUACACCCUUUCCACCGUGUGUGUGUGUGUGUGUGUGUGUGUGUGUGUGUGUGUGUGUGUGCGCUACAAAUCACUUUGAGGUAAAAAUAUUUUAAGGCAGCCACUUUCACCUUCCUACAACAACUGGUGACUGGUCUGAGGUGAAGCUUCUUGUCAUGUUACUGUGGUCAUGGAUCACAUUGUGGGGAUCUCCUGUAAUGUAACCGUUUCUGUAAUUAUCCUUACUUGCCUUUGCGCUUUUGUGCUUCUGUGUCUUCUGUUGGUGCUUUUAUUCUGCUUUUUAGGGCCCGAGCACCGCUGCUGCAAAGCCCUAUUGGAUCUGCUGUUUAUUAUUGGGGCAGAGCACCGAAGGUGCAGCGCUUCCGGUGACCACCGGAGGGCGCAUGCACCGGAUGUGCAGGGCCCUAUUGAUUUUCUGGUGUUUAUUGUUUAUUUCAUGCAUUCUUGUCGUUUUUAAGGACCUAAACAUGGCUGAAAACUCCCAAAACUCGGUAGACGCGCCAGCACCAGUGAAAAUGUAACUUACAUUGGGCAUGGGCAUGGUCGAGGAGCUCCUUAGCACCCCUGAAUGCAGACAAAGAUAUCAGUUAGAUUCAGCUUCGGACACAAGUUCCAGGUACUGAUCGAGAAGGAGUGGAUCAGCUUCGGACACAAGGUCUAGUAUGGCGUACGCAAUACAUAUUCUAAGCUUAAUCGUAAACAUAUUAUAAACAUGUCACUUAAAGAAAAAGACGUAUGAUCAUUGUGAUCUAGUUAAGAUUUAUAAGUUAUCUAUUUAUGGAAGUUUUAUGGAAGUAUUCUCCAGUGUCACGGCAGAGAGGACAUUGCACUUUCCAGUUUCUCAGUAACAUUGCAAGUCUUAUUCAUUUCAAGAGUUAGGGUGGGGAAAGAGAGGCUUGUGAGGGAACUAUUGUUUUAUUUUAAUGUUAUAAAGUAAGAGAUCAUAAUGAGAACUAACUCUCUUUUCCAGGACAUUCCAAAUUGUUCUUUGGCUAUGCCCCAUGUUUGUGCAAUAUUUCAGACCGGUUUUUCCUCUUUUCGCAGCUUCAAAAUGGCUUGCUUUUCUCCCAUAGACAGCUCUCUGGUCUUCAUGUCAGUUUAUUCUUUUUAACAACAAAUGCUGUCUCCACAGGUGAAACCCAGGGCUCAAACCAAGAGAAGACAUUCAGAGCUAUUCAUUCUUUAAAGUCCAUUUAACGAGUAUACAGCAAAAGCAAGUGAAUUGGCCUUGAUGUUCCAAUACUUUUGAAGAGGACUCUAAUUGUAAGAAUUAAAUAUAAUUUCCGUACUGAACAAAGACUGAUUAUCUGUUCAGGCGUUAUUGUGCAGAUCCACAUUUAAGCAUCUUACUAUACACUGAGUUCAAAGAGCUUUUUCUCAUCCCCAUCCUGGAUCGCCCCUACAGCUGCCUGUUUGGUACAUUCCUCUACAGCAGUGAGCAGGAGAGAAUGGAAAAGAUACGCUCCACAUUUCUCCACUAAUGGGCGGAGGCUUUCCAGCCUGUCUGAUUUUUCUGAAUGGAAAUGAAUUUGUCUAAGUGUCUUAUGACUUCUCUCUCUGUCUCUCUCUCUCUUUUGUUUUUAGGAAGUACAGGGUAAAACGGUCACUGUGGUCCUACGUUAACAGUCAGCCGGAGGACUUCACUAACCCGUUCUAUGUGGACUGUAAAAACCAGGUGCUGUAUCCACUGGCCAGUCUCGCACAUCUGGAGCUCUGGGUGGGUUAUUAUGUGCACUGGAACCCACGCAUGAGACCUCAGUAUAUUUCAUGAUUGGCUGGUUAGAAAACUACAUGAACGUACAGGUGUUCCUAAUAAAGUGGACGGUGAGUGAACAUGACGUGGCUGAAACGAUUUCCAAAACACUUCAGGAGCAGCUAGCGAUAAAGAUUAAGAUGCCGCUCCAUCAGAAUCUGAGAGUGUUAUUGUUUUUGCGUGAAGAACGUGGAGGAGCUCCAGAGAGAGGCCACGUCAUCCUGCUCCAUCUCCUCAUCCUCAGAGCAUACUUCUCCCUCCUCACAUAGUGAAAAAGUUUUGCAGUUCCUAUCCAAAAGACACCAAGAGCCCAGAUGUCCUUAGAAACUAAAUGUACCCUCCAACUCGUGGCCUUUUCAGUAACUCGAUUCCCAGACGUCGCCACACUGAUCACAGUGCAUCCUUCAAAUCCACCGUGCAACGGAAAUGGACCAGUCGAUUUAAACGGAUUGUUGAAAAUGUACGUUGUUCAAGGCAUUUGUGAAUUUGAAAUUUCGCUACAAACAGAGUCUGAACAGUCGCCAGAAUCUGAGGCAAAAACACACGAAGGAAUGAGAUCACGUCGUCAUUGCCUCGUCUCUGGUGUUCUACAUUUUUGACAAAAGUAACACCAGAGAUGCUGCGUUAAAAUGGUCAAGAAAAUUACACCAGAGUAAAAAAAUCCCAUUGGGUGAGAUUAUAAACAUCGACUGAAACUCUCGAUAGGACAUUGUUGGAGAGUUGCAUACGAGCGGACAUUCAACAAUAUUUAGUAGAAGCCUUGUGGAUGUUUUCGUCUGUGUUCGUCUGUAAUAUACUGGACUGUCCUACCAAGAGUUCGUCCACAUACACAUUCAACUGAAGCUCAUACAGUCAGCAUACUGAACUCUCCUUUUUGCCAUAGUGCGGCCGCUUAACAAGAUAAGGCCUCAGAAGUCAAGCACCAGCAGCUUGUGGCUAAAAAACUGCAGCAGAAUUGAGCUCGGCUAGGAGGUGACUGGUGACGGAAAAAGCCGGGGAACCCCGGAAAGGAAAACAGGGCUGUGUUCCAAAUCUUUUAUUGCCUCCUCUUCAAACUCCAAAAACCUCUGGGCCCUACAGCUAAAUCCAGAGCUGAGGAAAACAACCGUUCAACUAAGAAGGCCUUCUCAAACACAAUGUUUGAGCGAAGGGAGGAAAUGAUCAAACACAGAUCAAUUGGAACACAGCCCAUACAGCAAAACCGUAAAAAGGUGCCAUAGAGUGUAAAUGAUUCAAAAAGACACAAAUCUGAGCCCAAACACUUCAUAUGACCAUUGAUAUGACUGCUAACGAAAUCUAUUGUACUAUAGCUACACUGCUACAAGUGUACAUAAAGAUACACCGAUACAACCAGUUGAACAUGAAUAACACGCAAAGCACAUUUCACAAAUCACAAAUUCCCUAAUAAAGGAAAAAGACAUGUUUGUGCUAACAUGUAAGACUUGAGUUUCCACAUCUUCCAAACAAGUACACUUGAGCGUCUUCAUUACUGUAAGCUCGGCUCUGAAAAUCUGCUACCACUGUUGUACCAGUAAACACACACACACACAGAGCAAGUUAGCAAAGAUCGGUCAACAAGGUUUCUUCAACACAACCACCUUUUGAUACACGUACACUCACUUCAUAUUGUCAGUCCCUUUUUAAAAGUGAAUUAAACCAUGAGCAGCUAUCUUCUCAAAAGUCCGGUCAAUUUCAGAGCACAAAAAAACUGCCUAUAUACACAACAAUUCAGUCCCACGGCUCUGAAAGAAAUGCAGAGCACAAAUGUACAAAUCACUGUGAUUUCUAUUUUUCUUACAUGUGAAAAGGAUGCUUGUAAAAAGAUGAUAAAUCUUCACUGGGAAUUACUUUAAGGUCAUCAACAAUUAAUUUAUAAAUCAGGGGAGCCUGGCUCUGGUCCUGAAUUCCUGUGAUCAUGCACAGUGUGAUGAUUUCUCAUCUAACACUCCU